rnacentral:lncRNA from 1 species
UGCAGCCUCCUGUCUUCCAGAACAUAAUAGGAGCCUGUGUGCAGGAAUGAAACACAGGCUCUGCCACUGGACUACA